rnacentral:misc_RNA from 1 species
UUUCCGUAGGUGAACCUGCGGAAGGAUCAUUAUUGAAUGGAACACUUCUGGCUUUAUGCUGUUGUGCUGGCCCUUUGGGCAAUGUGCACACGGCUCUGGUCACUUGUUUCUUCUGUUCCACCUGUGCACUGCCCGUAGACACGCUGUGUCUAUGAUAUUUGUUAACACACAACAAUGUUAGUUGGCAUGUUAUAUAUAAUAAUAAAAUAUACAACUUUCAACAACGGAUCUCUUGGCUCUC